GGUUGUGGUUCAGUGGUAGGGCGCUUGCCUAGCAUGUGUGAGGCCCUGGGUUCAAUCCUCAGCACCA
rnacentral:tRNA from 1 species